GGGGAAUGCCUUGGCACCAGGAGCCGACGAAGGACGCAGCGAUCUGCGAAAAGCCACGGGGAGCCGAAAGCAGGCUUUGAUCCGUGGAUAUCCGAAUGGGGAAACCCGCAUGGUUAAUAGCCAUGCGACGUAUACUGAAUAAAUAGGUAUGCGUCGGGAACCGUCUGAACUGAAACAUCUAAGUAGGACGAGGAAAAGAAAUCAACCGAGAUUCCGUAAGUAGUGGCGAGCGAACACGGAAGAGGCCAAACCGAAGGUAGCAAUAUCUUCGGGGUACGGACAGUAAACGGCAUUGCGGUAUCUUAGCAGAAGUGCAUGGGACGGCACACCAUAGAGAGUGAUAGUCUCGUAAGCGAAAAGAGAAGGCAGCCAACUGUAUCCAGAGUACCGCCGGACACGUGAAACCCGGUGGGAACAUGGGGGGACCAUCCUCCAAGCCUAAAUACUCCCUGGUGACCGAUAGAGAACAGUACUGUGAAGGAAAGGUGAAAAGAACCCCGGGAGGGGAGUGAAAAGAACCUGAAACCUUAUGCUUACAAGCACCGAGAGCCCAUCAAAGGGUGAUCGGGUACCUUUUGUAGAAUGGUCCGGCGAGUGAAUGUAACUGGCAAGGUUAAGCACUUAAGGUGUGGAGCCGAAGCGAAAGCAAGUCUUAAUAGGGCGUCAAGUCAGUUGUAUUCGACCCGAAACCGUGUGACCUAGCCAUGAGCAGGCUGAAGUGGAGGUAAAACUCCAUGGAGGGCCGAACCCACUCCCUUUGAAAUGGUAGGGGAUGACUUGUGGCUAGCGGAGAAAUUCCAAUCGAACUCGGAGAUAGCUGGUUCUCUCCGAAAUAGCUUUAGGGCUAGCCUCGAUUUGACAUUACCGGAGGUAAAGCACUGAAUGGGCUAGGGGCCGAGAGGUUACUGAACCCUAUCAAACUAAGAAUGCCGGAUAAUGAUAAUCGGGAGUCAGACAGUGUGAGAUAAGUUUCAUUGUCAAAAGGGAAACAGCCCAGACCCACAGCUAAGGUCCCAAAGUACAGUUAAGUGGUGAAGGAUGUGGAAUUGCAUAGACAACCAGGAUGUUGGCUUAGAAGCAGCCACUCAUUAAAAGAGUGCGUAAUAGCUCACUGGUCGAGUGAUUCUGCGCCGAAAAUUUAACGGGGCUAAAUUGUACACCGAAGCUUGGGAUACAUCUAAUGUAUGGUAGGAGAGCGUUGUAUACGGGGUGAAGUCAGAGCGGAAGCGCUGGUGGACUGUAUACAAGUGAGAAUGCCGGAAUGAGUAGCGAGAAUUAUGUGAGAAUCAUAAUGGCCGAAAGACUAAGGUUUUAGAAGGAAGGUUCGUCCGCUUCUAGUCAGCCGGGAGCUAAGGCGAGGCCGAAAGGCGUAGUCGAUGCACAUACGGUGGAGAUUCCGUAGCCGCCAUUAAUUUAAACAGAGGGACACUUUCAAGGGGCAUGACCCGGGCGUUGGUAGACCCGGGCGUAAGGGACCGAAGAUUAGUAGGGAAGCAUGCUUUAAGGAAGGCGAGAAAAGCUCUGUGUAUAGAAGAUGGCGCCCGUACCGCAAACCGACACAGGUAGUCAGGAAGAGAAUUCUAAGGCCAACGGGAGAAGGGUAGUUAAGGAACUCGGCAAAUUGACCCCGUAACUUCGGAAUAAGGGGUGCUCACGAGAGUGAGCCGCAGUGAAUAGGUCCAGGCGACUGUUUAUCAAAAACACAGCUCUCUGCUAAAUCGAAAGAUGACGUAUAGGGGGUGACACCUGCCCGGUGCUGGAAGGUUAAGAGGAAGGGUGCAAGCUCUGAAUUGAAGCCCCAGUAAACGGCGGCCGUAACAAUAACGGUCCUAAGGUAGCGAAAUUCCUUGUCGGGUAAGUUCCGACCCGCACGAAUGGUGUAACGAUCUGGGCACUGUCUCAACUACCCACCCGGCGAAAUUGUAGUACCGGUGAAGAUGCCGGUUACCCGCGGCAAGACGGAAAGACCCCAUGGAGCUUUACUGUAACCUGAUAUUGGGUUUCGGUAUUUUAUGUACAGGAUAGGUGGGAGACUAUGAAACUAAGGCGCCAGCCUUAGCGGAGUCGCCCUUGGGAUACCACUCUUAAAGUACUGAAAUUCUAACCUGCGGCCGUGAAUCCGGUCGGGGGACAUUGUCAGGCGGGCAGUUUGACUGGGGCGGUCGCCUCCAAAAGAGUAACGGAGGCGCUCAAAGGU
rnacentral:rRNA from 1 species